UUUUUUUUUUUUUUUUUUGAGACAGAGUCUGUCACCCAGGCUGGAGUGUAGUGGCGUGAUCUCGGCUCACUGCAAGCUCCGCCUCCCGGGUUCACGCCAUUCUCCUGCCUCAACCUCCCCAGCAGCUGGGACUACAGGUGCACACCACCACACCCGGCUAAUUUUUUGUAUUUUCGGUAGAGGUGGAGUUUCACCGUAUUAGCCAGGAUGGUCUCGAUCUCCUGAUCUUAUGAUCUGCCCGCCUCUGCCUCCCAAAGUGCUGGGAUUACAGGCAUGAACCACCGCGCCUGGCCUGAUAGUUCCAAUCUUCCUAAAAAGACGCAAAGACAAUCACAAGACAGCCCUAUCUCCUCCCUGAAAAAUGCCCAAGAUGGAUAGUUUCAGACAGAGGGCACCAGUCCCCAACCCACCCCUGGCUCUGCAACCCUCACAGGCCAAGGAUACAAGUGACCCCUAGCCCCAUUCCCCAUGCAUCGCUGUGACACAGGGUCAUGGUUAUAAGGCCCCAUAAGCCAACAUCCUCCAGGAGGGAUUCGAACUCUGACCAGAGGCUGAGGCGAUGGCGCCAUAUUAUUAGGACCUGGGCUGUUGAGAUGCCUGUAGCGUUUUGUCCUAGCCUCUGAUCUGCCUUCCUUGGGGCCCCCAGACAGCCUCUAUCUCAGCACCCCCACUGGCAAAUGUGUCCAAAACCACUCUAAAGCCCAGACAUUAAGGUUUGACUCCCAUUCCAAAGACACACCUUGGCUGGUUACAACCAUAAUGCAAACCUACACCCAAAGUCCAAGGAAGGUGCCAGGCUGAAGAAAAAGACCAACAAAUCAUCUUUCUUAGGAAAAAAACAUUUAAUAGGGACUUAUGAACAGAAUCCGGGUCUGGGUCUCUGGUGGCAGGGGGACAAGAUAGUGGGUCUCCAUGCCUUACUGUCCAGACCCAGGGUCUACAUACCACAGGGAAAGGGUGUAUGUGCUUCAGAAGGAAUGUAUAAGGCACUUGCUUAAGGGCAAGAUUUAUGGUAAAUGCAAUAGCAGCAAGGUUGUUUUGACCUAAGGGCAGAAUUUAUAGUUAGUCUUACACAAGAAACAAUAGAUGAACUGGAACUCUUGGAGGCUGUCCCAGAAGUGGGAUUAAUCAGAAAUCUUUACGACAGAUUAGCAUCCUACAUGGGAUUGCCUUAGCCUCCAAAAAGUCUGUUAGGCACGUUUUGGAGGGGCUGGGUGGCUGCACUCCUGGUCUCCUAAUAACAAGGGCCACCGUCCAAACAGUGAGAGAGAUAAGUAAUGGCUGGGUCAUACUGGUUUCUGGGGUUCUGGCCUCUCUCACAAGAGCCUGAGUUAGCCAGGGGACUGUAGAGCAUAUGGGAGGUGGUCUCUCCAUGUUGACCUGUGGGCGGCAAGCCACCCAGGUGCCAAGGCAAGAGACCGAGGGCACGAGCUGUUCCAGUAUAAUAAAAUAUAUAAAAUAACAAGAGUUAUACUAGAUAUAGAUCAUAGAUAUGAAUAUAUAUAAGUAUCAUUAAUCAUUAGUGUGUAAUAAU
rnacentral:lncRNA from 1 species